rnacentral:tRNA from 1 species
GGAGGGAUCGCAUAGUGGUCUAGUGCGGGCGCCUGCUAAGCGCUUACCUUGGGAAACCGGGGUCGAGGGUUCGAAUCCCUCUCCCUCCGCCA